UCGAAGGUGGAUUUAGCAGUAAACUGA
rnacentral:piRNA from 1 species